rnacentral:misc_RNA from 1 species
AUUUGAAGGAGGUGGGUGGUCCGGAUUUGAAGAGCUUGAAGAAGAAGGCGGUUUCGGUAGUGUAUAGAGGGGAGGACAAGCAGGGGUUCUUGAAGAAGCUGGGACUGAAAUUCAAGGAUCCCUCAAGUACCACGGUGUUCAUUCUUGACAAGUUCGACGGAAACUCUGAACUAGUGGCGGAAUUGGUCACUGCCAAUGGCUUUAAAGCUGCAUUUGCAAUAAAGGAUGGUGCAGAGGGACCUCGAGGAUGGCUGAAUAGCGGCCUUCCUUGGACAGCACCUAAAAAGAUGCUAACACUUGAUUUUGAUGGUUUAAAGGAUACAAUCACGAGCAUACUCGAAGAGGGAGAAUAUGGACUGCCUGUUACUCUUGGACUAGCAGUUGCUACGGGCUUAGGAGUAGUUGCGUUCUCUGAGAUAGAGACUGUGCUGCAACUUUUG